rnacentral:rRNA from 1 species
GAACGCUGGCGGCGUGCCUAAUACAUGCAAGUCGAGCGAACAGACGAGGAGCUUGCUCCUCUGACGUUAGCGGCGGACGGGUGAGUAACACGUGGAUAACCUACCUAUAAGACUGGGAUAACUUCGGGAAACCGGAGCUAAUACCGGAUAAUAUAUUGAACCGCAUGGUUCAAUAGUGAAAGACGGUUUUGUUUUCACUAUUAAUUGAUUCCGCGCCGCAUUAGCUAGUUGGUAAGGUAAGGGCUUACCAAGGCAACGAUGCGUAGCCGACCUGAGAGGGUGAUCGGCCACACUGGAACUGAGACACGGUCCAGACUCCUACGGGAGGCAGCAGUAGGGAAUCUUCCGCAAAGGGCGAAAGCCUGACGGAGCAACGCCGCGUGAGUGAUGAAGGCCUUCGGAUCGUAAAACUCUGUUAUUAGGGAAGAACAAAUGUGUAAGUAACUAUGCACGUCUUGACGGUACCUAAUCAGAAAGCCACGGCUAACUACGUG